GGGCCCGCACAAGCGGUGGAGCAUGUGGUUUAAUUCGAUGCAACGCGAAGAACCUUACCAGGGCUUGACAUCCCUCUGACAGCAUCAGAGAUGGUGUUUCUCUUCGGAGCAGAGGAGACAGGUGGUGCAUGGCUGUCGUCAGCUCGUGUCGUGAGAUGUUGGGUUAAGUCCCGCAACGAGCGCAACCCUUGCCUUUAGUUGCCAUCAUUAAGUUGGGCACUCUAGAGGGACUGCCGGCGACAAGUCGGAGGAAGGUGAGGUUGACGUCAAGUCAUCAUGCCCCUUAUGUCCUGGGCUACACACGUGCUACAAUGGUCAGUACAGAGGGGAGCGAAGGGGCGACCUGGAGCAAAUCCCAUAAAGCUGAUCUCAGUUCGGAUUGCAGUCUGCAACUCGACUGCAUGAAGUCGGAAUCGCUAGUAAUCUCGGGUCAGCAUACCGAGGUGAAUACGUUCCCGGGCCUU
rnacentral:rRNA from 1 species